rnacentral:rRNA from 1 species
GGUUAAGCGACUAAGCGUACACGGUGGAUGCCCUGGCAGUCAGAGGCGAUGAAGGACGUGCUAAUCUGCGAUAAGCGUCGGUAAGGUGAUAUGAACCGUUAUAACCGGCGAUUUCCGAAUGGGGAAACCCAGUGUGAUUCGUCACACUAUCAUUAACUGAAUCCAUAGGUUAAUGAGGCGAACCGGGGGAACUGAAACAUCUAAGUACCCCGAGGAAAAGAAAUCAACCGAGAUUCCCCCAGUAGCGGCGAGCGAACGGGGAGCAGCCCAGAGCCUGAAUCAGUGUGUGUGUUAGUGGAAGCGUCUGGAAAGGCGCGCGAUACAGGGUGACAGCCCCGUACACAAAAAUGCACAUACUGUGAGCUCGAUGAGUAGGGCGGGACACGUGGUAUCCUGUCUGAAUAUGGGGGGACCAUCCUCCAAGGCUAAAUACUCCUGACUGACCGAUAGUGAACCAGUACCGUGAGGGAAAGGCGAAAAGAACCCCGGCGAGGGGAGUGAAAAAGAACCUGAAACCGUGUACGUACAAGCAGUGGGAGCCUCUUUAUGGGGUGACUGCGUACCUUUUGUAUAAUGGGUCAGCGACUUAUAUUCUGUAGCAAGGUUAACCGAAUAGGGGAGCCGAAGGGAAACCGAGUCUUAACUGGGCGUUAAGUUGCAGGGUAUAGACCCGAAACCCGGUGAUCUAGCCAUGGGCAGGUUGAAGGUUGGGUAACACUAACUGGAGGACCGAACCGACUAAUGUUGAAAAAUUAGCGGAUGACUUGUGGCUGGGGGUGAAAGGCCAAUCAAACCGGGAGAUAGCUGGUUCUCCCCGAAAGCUAUUUAGGUAGCGCCUCGUGAAUUCAUCUCCGGGGGUAGAGCACUGUUUCGGCAAGGGGGUCAUCCCGACUUACCAACCCGAUGCAAACUGCGAAUACCGGAGAAUGUUAUCACGGGAGACACACGGCGGGUGCUAACGUCCGUCGUGAAGAGGGAAACAACCCAGACCGCCAGCUAAGGUCCCAAAGUCAUGGUUAAGUGGGAAACGAUGUGGGAAGGCCCAGACAGCCAGGAUGUUGGCUUAGAAGCAGCCAUCAUUUAAAGAAAGCGUAAUAGCUCACUGGUCGAGUCGGCCUGCGCGGAAGAUGUAACGGGGCUAAACCAUGCACCGAAGCUG